AGAGAGAGACAUGCGCGCAUAUCAAUAAGCGGAGGAAAAGAAACUAACUAGGAUUCCCUCAGUAACGGCGAGUGAAGCGGGAAGAGCUCAAAUUUGAAAUCUUCAAGGUUCUACCUUGACGAAUUGUAGUUUAUAGAAGUGUUUUCUGUUAGUGGUGUGGCAAAAGUUCUUUGGAAUAGGACAUCAUAGAGGGUGAGAAUCCCGUAUUUGGUCAUUCCUCCUAGCGUUGUGAUACACUUUCAACGAGUCGGAUUGUUUGGGAAUGCAGUCCAAAAUGGGUGGUAAAUUUCAUCUAAAGCUAAAUAUUGGCGAGAGACCGAUAGCGAACAAGUACCGUGAGGGAAAGAUGAAAAGAACUUUGAAAAGAGAGUUAAACAGUACGUGAAAUUGUCAAAAGGGAAGCGUUUGACACCAGUGUUGUUUUUCCGAAAAUCAAUUACGAAUGUUUUAUUUUUGAGGAGUUAUGACUUCAUCGGCUUGCUUCCUUUCUUUACUGAAACUUUCUUAAUGCACUUUUCGGUUAACAAGUCAACAUCAAUUUCUUUUGUUGUAAAAGGGUAUGAGGAAGGUGGCUUUCUUUUCGGAGAAAGUGUUUAUAGCCUUGUGCCUCUGCAAUCGGAGAGAUUGAGGUCUGCAGCGUAGAUCCUUCGGGGUUAGAUACGUUUGUGCUAAGUUAUAGCUUUUCAUAGACAACUUGUUGACUAUGUUUAGUCUUGUAGCUUACUCGCUGACGCUAUUUUACCUACGCUUAGGAUGUUGAUAGUCACAGCGUGUAC
rnacentral:rRNA from 1 species